rnacentral:rRNA from 1 species
CAGAGACCGAUAGCGCACAAGUAGAGUGAUCGAAAGAUGAAAAGCACUUUGGAAAGAGAGUCAAAUAGCACGUGAAAUUGUUGAAAGGGAAGCGCUUGCAGCCAGACUUGCCUGUAGUUGCUUAUCCGGACUUUUGUCCGGUGCACUCUUCUGCGGGCAGGCCAGCAUCAGUUUGGGCGGUUGGAUAAAGGUCUCUAUCACGUACCUCUCUUCGGGGAGGCCUUAUAGGGGAGACGUCAUGCAACCAGCCUGGACUGAGGUCCGCGCAUCUGCUAGGAUGCCGGCGUAAUGGCUGUAAGCGGCCCGUCUUGAAACACGGACCAAGGAGUCUAACAUCUAUGCGAGUGUUUGGGUGUCAAGCCCAGACGCGUAAUGAAAGUGAACGGAGGUGGGAACCCUUUGGGUGCACCAUCGACCGAUCCUGAUGUCUUCGGAUGGAUUUGAGUAAGAGCAUGGCUGUUGGGACCCGAAAGAUGGUGAACUAUGCUUGAAUAGGGUGAAGCCAGAGGAAACUCUGGUGGAGGCUCGCAGCGGUUCUGACGUGCAAAUCGAUCGUCAAAUUUGGGCAUA